rnacentral:rRNA from 1 species
UGGUAGUNCACGCCGUAAACGAUGAGUGCUAGGUGUUAGGCCCUUUCCGGGGCUUAGUGCCGGAGCUAACGCAAUAAGCACUCCGCCUGGGGAGUACGACCGCAAGGUUGAAACUCAAAGGAAUUGACGGGGGCCCGCACNAGCGGUGGAGCAUGUGGUUUAAUUCGAAGCAACGCGAAGAACCUUACCAGGUCUUGACAUCCCGAUGCUAUUCUUAGAGAUAGGGAGUUACUUCGGUACAUCGGAGACAGGUGGUGCAUGGUUGUCGUCAGCUCGUGUCGUGAGAUGUUGGGUUNNNNNNNGCNACGAGCGCAACCCUUAUUGUUAGUUGCCAUCAUUAAGUUGGGCACUCUAGCGAGACUGCCGGUAAUAAACCGGAGGAAGGUGGGGAUGACGUCAAAUCAUCAUGCCCCUUAUGACCUGGGCUACACACGUGCUACAAUGGUCGGUACAACGAGUUGCGAGCCGGUGACGGCAAGCUAAUCUCUGAAAGCCGAUCUCAGUUCGGAUUGGAGGCUGCAACUCGCCUCCAUGAAGUCGGAAUCGCUAGUAAUCGCGGAUCAGCACGCCGCGGUGAAUACGUUCCCGGGCCUU